rnacentral:lncRNA from 1 species
CCUGCGCCUGCCGCGGGGCGGUGGAGCCGGGGCCCGCCCGCUUGUGGAUUACAGCUGGAGCCGCCGCCCAGGCGGCCGCGGAGCCUCGCUGGGUCGCCGCGUUUGCCCCCUCUUUUGUUUUUGGAGGGGGCCGGCCGGGAGAGCGUCCCCCGCCCAAGGAGGCGCCGCGAGCAUGGGCGAGUGAAGCCGCGGGGGCUCCCGCCGGCGCCGCCGCGCUAGGGAUGGUGCGCGCCGGCGGGGGGAGGCGGCGGGCAUGAGGCGCGCAGGAUGGGCGCCAACAACGGCAAGCAGUGCGGCAGCGACGGCAAGAAUAUGCUGUGGCAAAAACUGCUAUGGGAAAUGUCAAGGCAAAGGCAGCUCAAGCAUCUCAUCCGAUGUGAGUUCAAGUACAGAUCACACACCCACCAAAGCCCAGAAGAAUGCAGCUACCAGUGAAGGUAGGCAUCUGGUAUUCAUUACCCAGGUCCAGGCCUCCCAGCAUGAUGUUAGCUAUUUUCAGA